CGACCGCUGGCGGCAUGCCUAACACAUGCAAGUCGACCGAGACCUUCGGGUCUAGUGGCGCACGGGUGCGUAACGCGUGGGAACCUGCCCUUAGGUUCGGAAUAACUCCCCGAAAGGGGUGCUAAUACCGGAUAAUGUCUUCGGACCAAAGAUUUAUCGCCUUUGGAUGGGCCCGCGUUGGAUUAGCUAGUUGGUAGGGUAAAAGCCUACCAAGGCGACGAUCCAUAGCUGGUCUGAGAGGAUGAUCAGCCACACUGGGACUGAGACACGGCCCAGACUCCUACGGGAGGCAGCAGUGGGGAAUAUUGGACAAUGGGCGAAAGCCUGAUCCAGCAAUGCCGCGUGAGUGAUGAAGGCCUUAGGGUUGUAAAGCUCUUUUACCCGGGAUGAUAAUGACAGUACCGGGAGAAUAAGCUCCGGCUAACUCCGUG
rnacentral:rRNA from 1 species